ensembl:lncRNA
CCGAUUUCGCGGGAAUUCGUCUUUGCGUGGCUACGUCACGUCCGUGUGUGGAGCGUUUGUAACUUGUGUUUACAUUAGUUGCUUAGAAUUUUACACUUGUCUUCUUGGUGGCUUAUUUAAUUGAUAAAUCCAAAAGGCAAUCAUCGUUAACAUCUGGGGAAGAUGUUGUCAAAAUUAAGAACAGUGCAAUCAAAAAGAGAACGCGACAGAGGUUUGAUACGAGAGUAAAUAUCGGCGUGGCGACAGCUCCGAGAUCUGAAGAGAUCUGACGCAAAUAUGGCUUUUUAAAUGCUGAACAGAUCCCUGUUUUUUCCAGAUCCAGGAGUGAGAGAGAAAGAGAGAGCAGGAGCUUUUUUCCUCGUCUCCACAGGGAGUGAAGAGAAAUACUGGAUCUGCAGUGUUUGGGAGCGAAUCGGUCUGGAAGCCAAACGAACCUGGCGUCACAUUGAUACAUCAGGCGCAGGCACCUGGAGGAUGUGAAUAUGAUAAGUUGUCACCUCGUCAUGGAGAUUCUCCAUUCGGCCUGGAGAGUGAGACAGUAAUAAUUUUACAGACCUUCACAGUUUCAAAAUAACUUUUAAUAUUAGAGCGGGGAAAAAAGCUGUUGAAUUAUAAACGCCCGCCGCUGCGGUUCUUUGACACCACCAUCUGUCUUUUUGAUGGAGAUGAGGAAAGAGAGAGAGAGGUACAGAGGUCAGCCCGUAACAUGGAGACGGCGAAAAAACCACAGCAGCUGCCGUAACGCCGAGACCGGAGAGUAUUUUCAUAUGCACUUCUCAUUGGGAAGCAAAUCAAACUGUGUGGUCGAUCUGAGGUGAAGGAAAGUCACUUAAAUUCUUAAACACAACAUGGGGCCUGACUGACUGCAUGUCACCUCUUUUUUCACACUGCAGAAACGGAAAACGUGUGAGAAGGAAUGGACGCCUCUGCAAUUGCUCCGACUUGGAUGCUGGCCUUCAUUUGUGUAGGAAAUGCCUGGUGUAAUGAUGCAAGUACACUUUCAUGAGAUGUAUUUACAAAACGAGCACCCCAAAAUGUUGUCAUUACCAGUGGGAACCUCUGGAUCGCUUUAAAGCCACUUUCUGAGGUUCAGAGUCAAUUAAAGAAUCAUGGUGAAAGCAAAUGGUUUCAGCAAUUGCUAAAACAGAAUAGUUCAUCCAGAAAUGAAAAUUCUGUCAGCA